UACGUAGGUGGCAAGCGUUAUCCGGAAUUACUGGGCGUAAAGCGCACGCAGGCGGUCUUUUAAGUUUGACGUGAAAGCUCCCGGCUUAACUGGGAGAGGUCGUUGAAUACUGGAAGACUUGAGGAAAUGAGAGGGGUGUAGAAUUCCCGGUGUAGUGGUGGAAUGCGUAGAGAUCGGCAGGAACACCCAGGGGGAAACCAGUGGACUGGCACGGUGCUGACGCUCAGGUGCGAAAGCGUGG
rnacentral:rRNA from 1 species